GAGCAUGUUCAGUAGAUCUUGGAAGAAGUUCCACCUGUACAGAUUUAGCUUCUGGAAAGAUUCCACAUCUUAUGAGAAUUUCUUCUGUCUGGAAAAUUACAUCAGGAUAGAAUUAGAGCGUCCUGUGAAGUGCCCUUGGAACUGAACAGAGAUUGCCCUCAGACAUGGAGGAUCACAGGAAACAGAUUGGCGGGGUGCUUGUCUUUGUGAUGGGAAUAACAUUUGUUUUUGGUCAGCUGUGUGGCAACUGCUUGAGUCAGUGUAAUGAGGAAACCGGAGAAUGUUCCGGAAAGUGUGCUCUUGGCUGGGAUGGUCCUACUUGUUCCAGACGAAAUGUGGCAUUUAACCAAAGCACGACGCAGUCUUCGGAUUAUAGCGAGAGAGGGUUCAACUUCACCUCCGGACUCGCCGUUGAUGGUAGGACUGGACAUAAGCUUUUCACGAGACCAUAUACAUGUACUCACACCAGAG